GAGGGUAUAGCUCAGUGGCAGAGCACAUGCUUAGCAUGCAUGAGGUCCCCUGUGCCGCCUCUAAAAACAAAGAAAUAAAUAAACCUAAUUACCUUCC
rnacentral:tRNA from 1 species